rnacentral:tRNA from 1 species
UCCCUGAUAGCUCAGUUGGUAAAGAAUCUGCCUGCAAUGUAGGAAAACCUGGUUCGAUUCCUGGGUCGGGAA